rnacentral:tRNA from 1 species
AGCUAGCUAUCUCAGUAGCAGAGAACAGGUCUUGCAAACCUGAGACGCCAGGUUCAAUCCCAGGCACUACAUA